rnacentral:rRNA from 1 species
UACGGGAGGCAGCAGUGGGGAAUAUUGCACAAUGGGCGCAAGCCUGAUGCAGCCAUGCCGCGUGUAUGAAGAAGGCCUUCGGGUUGUAAAGUACUUUCAGUCGUGAGGAAGGUGUUAAGGUUAAUAACCUUAGCAAUUGACGUUAGCGACAGAAGAAGCACCGGCUAACUCCGUGCCAGCAGCCGCGGUAAUCGGAGGGUGCGAGCGUUAAUCGGAAUUACUGGGCGUAAAGGGCACGCAGGCGGUUAAUUAAGUUGGAUGUGAAAUCCCCGGGCUUAACCUGGGAAUGGCAUUCAAGACUGGUUAGCUAGAGUCUUGUAGAGGGGGUAGAAUUCCAUGUGUAGCGGUGAAAUGCGUAGAGAUGUGGAGGAAUACCGGUGGCGAAGGCGGCCCCUGGACAAAGACUGACGCUCAUGUGCGAAAGCGUGGGGAGCGAAA